UACAGAGGUCUCAAGCGUUGUUCGGAUUCAUUGGGCGUAAAGGGUGCGUAGGUGGCGCCGUAAGUCAGGUGUGAAAUUUCGGAGCUUAACUCCGAAACUGCAUUUGAUACUGCGGUGCUUGAGGACUGGAGAGGAGACUGGAAUUUACGGUGUAGCAAUGAAAUGCGUAGAGAUCGUAAGGAAGACCAGUGGCGAAGGCGGGUCUCUGGACAGUUCCUGACACUGAGGCACGAAGGCCAGGGGAGCAAACGGG
rnacentral:rRNA from 1 species